GCCGCCAGGGGGCUCACGCGGAGGCGCUCCCGACGCCUGCUUUCUUAGACCUCGGAGGGGACCCGCACGUGGAUGGCACGCGGCCCGGGAGACGCUGGGAAGUCACACUGCGUGGUGCGGGUGGGGCUCGGCAGCAGUUUUCCCGGCCUCCAUCCGUCCUGUUGGUGCAGGGACGUAAAGAUAACUGGGAGCAAGUCCCGCUACCCGGUAGGGGGGCAGUGGGCCCCCCGGGUUCCCCGGGCAACGCGCCAACUCGACCCGGACCGGGCCGGCCACACUGCCGGCUGCCACGGGCUCGGCGCGGGCCGCGACUGCGGGGACUCAGCGGCCGCUGGGGAGGCCGCGCCAAAGCUCGAGCACAGGGGCAGCCGCGCCCCUGGUUUACCGUCUUAGCGACACGGGCCGUUAGUUUCAGGAUUUUGGAGACAAACGUACUUGAAAUAUAACAUGUUUUCUUCUCCCUGGUGGGAGCGUCUGAAGGAAUCUUCUUCGCUGCGCACGAGGGAUUUGGAGCCCUGAGCCUUGCAGAGUCAACGGUCCUUUCGCUGGGCGGAGCUGCUUACCUGCUACUGGAGGCCAGUCCUAUUUAUAAACCAUCUUGAUUUAAUCUCUGCCAUAUUUUUAAACUAAGCAUAAACGAUCAACCCUGUGAUUUAUCUCAAAAGCUCUGAUCCUCCUUGCUCCUCCCCAAACAGCCGAGCACACUCCCAACUCGGGCCCUUGGCACUGGCUGCUGCUCCUCCGUCAAGUGCUGCUCCUUCAGACAUUGUAGAGUUAGUUCCUUUGCGCUUUCCAGGUUUUCAUCAAAAUUCAGCUUCACCGCGAGCCGCCCCAGUCCACGUGUGCAACCUCAACCUCCCGUUUCGGGUCCUCCCUGCCCACAUUAUCUUCUUCUUGCCACUGACCACGAAGUAACGCAGCAGACGCACUAUCUGUUUAUUUUCUACCUUCCAUACCACAGUUCAAGCCCUGUUAGGGCAAGACUAUUUUUCACUAUCAUACUGUCGGCCGAGUGGAGUGUGGGCACGUCUAAGAGCUCUAUAUGUUUGUUAACUUGGUGACUGAAAACAAAACAAAAAAACCCGAUUCCAUGAUGUCUGGACUUAUAACUGGGUUUUCCUUUUUCAAAUGUAUAGUCUUUGCUCAGUGUAAAUCUCUUCUGUGUGUAAGUUCAAACUAAGAAUUUUUGGAAAGCACAGAAUUAGGUUAAAAACUAUGAUGCUGGAGAUCUUCAUUGUAAAUAGAGGGUCAGUGUAUUAAAGUUGUACACGCUUUUUUGUAAGACCCUUGGAUAAGUAAAUUAUAUUUUUUUUGUCAUAGGGCUUUCUUUAUUUUUGUUCUGAAGAAUAAAUAAGUAAAUCAGCAGAAAAAAUAUUUAGAUAGGUGGUAUGCAAUGACACCUUAGGGAAAUGUAUUUGAUGACUUACAAUAAACUAUGUUCCAAGCAAAUUAUAAUUGCUGCCCAGGAGAGAAAAGCAAAAUCCUAAGAAAUUGUUUCUGCCUUUAUUUGGUGGAAAUUGUGUGCACAUAAUGCACUUGACAAAAAAAAAAAUGACAAAGGAGAGGUAAAACUAUUCAUAGCAAAAUAUUUAUAAUUUCACCAUUGGGUAUGAGUUAAAUGAGUCUGCCUCAAAUGGAGGAAAGUCAUAAAAUUUUUCAAAAACGGUUCCUAGAAAAAGUAAUGAGAGUUGGCCUAUUUUUUUCCAAAAGCCUGUUCUUUGUGCCUGGCGCCAUGGUAUGGACUUUGCACACAUUCAGAUGCUAGAUCCUCCAGCAACACUGUGCUUUGGAUACUAUUUUCUCCAUUUUGCAAAUGAGAAAACUGGAUCUCAACGAGGUAUUAGGAUGGAAGCCUCGACUGAUAAGGUGGCAAAGUCAAUACAUACCUCUGGAGAGAAGCAAAGUGCAAAGUUUAUGAGAAAACAGUUCCUUUCCUUUGAUUUUUUAUUUUAGCAAAACUCAAAGUUUCAAAGGUGUAUGAUCAUGGAAGAACUAGCAGACGGCGACAGAAUCAGCUCUGCAGUUGCACUGCACUGUGGUACCGAGGCUCAGAAGUCCAAGAUCAUGGUGACUGAAGAUCCAGUGCCUAGUAGAACCUACAUCCUGGUGUAUAUAGCUGUCUUCUUGCUGUAUCUUCACAGUGGAUGUUCCUUUGCUGCUGACUUAGUAAAGUUGAAGGAAAAUUGAUAUAUGCAGAAGAUAUACAGUAGUAGGAAGAACGGUGAAAAUCAGAUACCAAAGAGUAAUCACAAAAGGAGAUUAUCCAAGCCAUCUAGAAUUCUUGGGGGAGAGAUGAGAGAUAGUAUGAUUGCUCUGGAGAUUUCUGGAAGAGAUCAAGUUGGAGAAAAAAAUGAAAGCAAGCAAAAAUCUGUCACUGUUGUUUGUGAUAGUAACCAUGCCACUAAGGAAAUGAUUUUAAAAGAAAUAAUGCCUAAAUCAGCGAUUUAACGCAGACUUUUGGGAAUGUGGGAAAAACUGCAAAUAGGAAUUAAGCAUGCUUACUGAGCAAGUGUCACUGGCAGGGAGGUGUGCUGCGGCCGCUAGGGCACGGGCAGGAAGCAGGGGCGGGCCGGGUCUCUGCACCCUGAGGCUCUGCGGCCUCCCUCCAGCACCCCAGCUGGCACAGGCCCAGGAUGCCAGCGGCACGCGGCAGCAGUGACUUGACGAAUCUCGGCCGCAGCACCCCGAAGAGCCCUGUAGAAAAUUGGAUUCACAAUUUACUACCACGCACGCAUGCCCCCGACACGACGGCGUUUAAUAUAAUAUAAUUAAGAAUUUAAUUUCAGGGACGCCUGGGUGGCUCAACGGUAGAGCGUCUGCCUGUGGCCCAGGUCGUGACCCCGGGGUCCCGGGAUCGAGUC